CAUUUCAUCCCAGAGCUUCAUUUCCCCUUCCUCCCCGUUUUUGUCUUCCUAUGGCAAAAAUGUGCUGGUCACAGGCCCAGAUCUUUGCCUUCAGGAUAUGAAGAGUUCAGCUGCUGGUGGCUGCAACAGCACAUGUCAGAGUUUCCUGAAUGUGAAGCCUGCAUAUCCAUUUAAACAGAAGCUGCUGGGCCAGAGUCAGAAGAGGCUGCAAGGCUACAACAUCUAACUUGUAUCAAGAAAUCUAAACUUGUGAGAAGAAUCUGUGCUCCUUCUGGAAUCACAGUGACCACAGAGUUCAAAGGAUGGAGACAGAGCAAAAGGAAAACAACAAACUGCUAAAGUCAACAGGGAGACAGAAAACACAUGAAGUCACAACUCUAGUUCACACCAUUCUGUCUGCAAGUGUCACUUGUUGCAGGUGUGGCACGUAGAAGAUGAGGUACAAUAACCACCACAGAAAAUAAGGUGAUUAGUUAUCCAAAGGCUAGAUUGUUCUUCUACAUUCUCUUGUUAAACCUGAUGUUGACCUCAGUUGUCCUACAUUAAUGGAAAAAGCCUAGUGUCAGAGAGCUUGGCAAACUCAUUCUUUACUAUCAUUCUUAGCAUACCUCCAUGCUAUAAUUCAAUUAUGCAAAUGGAUAAUUAUGCACUAAUACUAUACAUGUAUAAUAAUGGCAUUCAAAUUGUAUAAUUAAUAAUUAAGAGAUUGCAAUAUAUUUAAUGAAGGUCACAUUUUCAACUAUUAAUUCAAUGUGAAAUGUUGAUUUGCAGAUUAAAGGGUGUAGAAUCCCUUCUCAAAGCCCAGUAGCUCUCACAUACUCUAAUUCUUACUCCUUUCAAACAUCAAAUCCUCUUAUGUGUCCCUUUCUCUAAUGGCCAGAAAGACAUCCUGCCUACAUUGGUUAUUCUUACUACCAUUAUUUUUUCUGAAUUUAGUAGUUGAAAUUACAAGCACAUUUCUUCAACAGUUUUUCUUAGGAGUUUUCUAUCUAGUUGAGUUACCAUGUUGAACUUUCUUCAUAGGCACAUAAAGACAACAUCCUAUAAAUUAGGACCUUGGUAAUAGCAAUGGGUACCAUGCUACAAGAUAAUGAACCUGCUAAUACAUAGCUUUCCAAAAUACUCAACAACUUUUACAUCAUGCAGUUUCUGGUAAAGAAUUCCUUACAUUGGUUUCUUCUACAAAACACAAAGGUUUUUUUAAACAAACAUACCUACAAAGUAGAUUUAAGUGAACUGUUUUGAUGACUGCUUUUACCAUGUCCCCUUCUACCCGCAUGAAGUCACGAAUGUAUACCAAGAGAAUAUAUCAUCUUAAUUAGAUCAUUUAUGCAAGAAAUAACAACUUUUCACAUCAGCUGUGAUCCUCAGUGUGAUUUCUAUAAUACAGACUUCAGUUGCCAAAGCAUCAGCACCUGUUGUUACUCAAAACACAAGCUGUACCAGAGACUCUGCACAGGAUCAGCAAACACAAUCUACAAUCUACAAAUUACCUUUGCUACUUAGUACAGCACAGCAGCUAGAGGACAGGCAUGAUGCUCUGGAACAUAACAAAUGGUAUUAGGUGCCUUUAUUUAGGCAAAUUAAUUGACACUUCUCUUCUAUCACUGCACAGACUAAACUUCUGAAACCAAGAUGCACUGUUUAAGCUUGAAAGCUGCCAUAUAAGAAUGAAUAGUACACUAGAAUUUUUGUUCUAAGCAACACUUGAUUUUAUUCUUUUUGUGUCCCCAUGCAAACAUAGCAUUUGACUAUGACUCUUCAAUUCUACUUUAAUAAGUAAUUCAGUUUUAUUUUUUAAACAUGCAGUGUCAUCACAGGCCCCCAGAAAGUAAUAAUUAGCAUUGACUCCAUGAUUCAUGGAAGGCUGAUCAAUCACUUUGUUAUAUUAAUUAAGAAACCCAUCGCCCUUACAGACAGUCACAAUACAGGGGGACCCGAAUGGUCCUUCAAUCCAAACACCA